rnacentral:tRNA from 1 species
GCCUGGAUGGCUCAGUUGGUUAAGCAUCCAACUUCGGCUCAGGUCAUGAUCUUGAAGGACAGGUCAUGAUCUCAAAGUUGGUUCAUGAUCUCACAGUCUGUGAGUUCGAGCCCCACUUCAGGCU